rnacentral:rRNA from 1 species
GACGAACGCUGGCGGCGUGCUUAACACAUGCAAGUCGAACGGAAAGGCCCUGCUUGCAUGGUACUCGAGUGGCGAACAGGUGAGUAACACGUGGGUGAUCUGUCCUCUUCUUCGGGAUAAGCCUGGAGAACUCGGGCUAUUAUAGGAUAGGGGCGAUUUUUCGUGUGAUGGUUGGAUAGAUUUUUUGGUGUGGGGUGAGUUCCCGGCCUAUCAGGUUGGUGGUGGGGUGAUGGCCUACUAAGGCGGCGUUGGGUAGCUGGCCUGGGAGGGUGGACGGCCCACAUUGGGCUUGGAAACGGCCCAAACUCCCUCGGGGGGCAGGCAGUGGGAAAAUUUGACAAAGGGGCGGAGGCUUAAUCAACGACCGCGGGGGGGGGAUGACCGGCUUCGGGUUGGAAACCCCUUUCGCUAGGGACGAAACUGUGUGUGACGGUACCGAGAUAAGAAGCACCGGCUAACUACGUG